rnacentral:rRNA from 1 species
UACGUAGGGUGCGAGCGUUGUCCGGAAUUACUGGGCGUAAAGAGCUCGUAGGCGGUUCGAUAAGUCGGGUGUGAAACCUCCAGGCUCAACCUGGAGACGCCACCCGAUACUGUCGUGACUAGAGUCCAGUAGGGGAGCGUGGAAUUCCUGGUGUAGCGGUGAAAUGCGCAGAUAUCAGGAGGAACACCAGCGGCGAAGGCGGCGCUCUGGGCUGGAACUGACGCUGAGGAGCGAAAGCGUGGGGAGCGAACAGG